UGCAGAUAGCAGGGCACAUAAUGGAACUUGUAAACAUUUUUUAAUCAGUGUUCACUACUCCUGUACAAGCAGAAACCGUCCUUGUUAGUUAUGAGUUAUGACCGUAAAAAUUCCUUACACACUCUCUCAGAUUACUUUGUUAGCCACAUGGUAAGUAACAAACCGAGUUCACUGCAAUGCUCUCUAAAUAGUUGUGGUUAUCCCCACUCCUCACUGUAUGCAACAAUCAUUAACCUAAUAUUAUCAAUGGGUUUGUGUAAGAUAAACCUAACAAACUUUCAGUGCUCCAAUGAUAAUUUUGUGCAGAAUCUUAUCGAAUGUAGAAGUAACUUUUCAAUUUCUACUUGGUCUGUUUAUUGUUGUUCUUAAUACUAUUAGAACAUAAUGGAUUAUUGAUUGUUUGUUAAUUGACAAUGUAUAGCUCUAAAUCCCACUUUCUAUUUUAUGUCUCAAUAUUGGAAAUUGAAGGAGAUAAGUAUGGGGGAGGCGAUCUAUUAGGUAUGUAUGACUGACAUUAUUUUUUAGAAUGCCCGCAAUUAUGUAUUCUUCAAGCAGCCAAUAAACUCCUCUCUUUGUAUUGGUCAAAGACCAACUCAACGUAAAUGCUUUAGUUAGAUCAAGGAACAUGAGUAAUUUUAUAUAUUUAACAUGUAGCCUCACAUGAAAGCCCAUUGGACUUGAACAAUACACAUGUUCAUUAUAUCUUAUGCUGAAAUUUUGUUAAUUGUGAGGAAUGAGAUGAUUAUUGAACCUUUAACUACGUAUCAUGCUCUAUUGCCAUAUCGAAGAACCAUUCAGCUUAAAGGCUUAGCUAUUAGUUGAAGGCAAAUUAAUGGUGGUCUUAUUGUCAAUAUUGGUUUUCUGCAGAACAAAAUCACAAAGCCAGAGGGUGUUGUUCUUCUUCAUCAUAUGUUGAGUGCUGAGCUGAGUCAAAAUCAGCCUUCCAAUAUAUAAAUCUGAGUAUAUCUUUUUCAAGGUGCAACUGCUGCAAGAGCUUUCAAGUCUGUCCUUUAGAGCAUUUUACUUUCUUUUGAAGGGAUUGACUGGAAAAAAAAUCAGCAUGCUGCGGAAUUGGAAAGUUCAAUGGAGAAGGUCUAUGCUUCAAAGGUCUGCAAGGCGUUAAUCUUUAUUUGAAUCAUGAUAAUCACUUGUUUUGGGAUUGGUUUCAUCCAAUUGAAUAUUCUUCACAGUUGGCAGAUGGAGAGUAAUGUGAAACGUAAUGUGAAUGCUCUGGCAGUUGGAAUGAUUGUAGGCAUUGAUCAUUUAGAACAGAUAAGCCAAAGAUGCAUUUGCAUUGUCAAAAGUGUAGCGGUCGACCAUAGUGGAUGUGUCUUGUGCGGAUAAUGCCCUAUUAUUUUCAUGUCGUUAACAACACAUUUUUUAUGCUAUAGUUUGUGACAUAUAUCUGGACUUGAUUCUUUUAUUGUUUAUUUACUAAUGUUUGAUAUCAUUUACAGAUGUCAUGAUUUUGUUAAAUUAUUUGGUCCCCGGACAAAAAUUAUUUGUGAUCAGUGUGAGAAGGAAUAUCAUGUUGGAUGUUUCAAGGAUUAUAAAAUGCAGAAUCUAGAGGUGUUUCAUUCAACUUUGGGAUGGUUUCUUGGAUGUUAAUGCAUUAAAUUGUUGCGUUGAUUUCGUGCUUGCGCAACAUACAAUGAAAUCUUUGACCAGAGAUGGUGAAUAAUAGUAAUCAUUCAAGUGAUUCGGUUGUGUUAAUUUAUACGAAUCUUUUUGUGUUAAUCUUGAUUAUUAAUAUUAUUACAAUCUUUUAUGUAUACUAAGACUUGUGAUUUGUUUAUGUUUUCAUGUUAAGUAUAAUGUAUUGUCAACAUAGUUGAUGCCAUCAUGUGACUCAUUGGGUCGAGGCAUGUUCAAUUCUAUUGUGUUUAUAAUUACAUUAGUGUUCUGGUUCUACUUAUUUGAUG